rnacentral:rRNA from 2 species
UUUAGCUUGCUAUUGAUUCUUGUUUAUCUUAGUGGCGGACGGGUGAGUAACGCGUGAGCAACCUGCCUUUCAGAGGGGGAUAACGUCUUGAAAAGGACGCUAAUACCGCAUGAGAUCGUAGUUCCACAUGGGACGGCGACCAAAGGAGCAAUCCGCUGAAAGAUGGGCUCGCGUCCGAUUAGAUAGUUGGCGGGGUAACGGCCCACCAAGUCGACGAUCGGUAGCCGGACUGAGAGGUUGAACGGCCACAUUGGGACUGAGACACGGCCCAGACUCC